UUGUAGGCUGAAACUCGCCUACAUGAAGCUGGAGUUACUAGUAAUCGCAGAUCAGAAUGCUGCGGUGAAUGCGUUCCCGGGUCUUGUACACACCGCCCGUCACACCACGGGAGUUGGAGACGCCCGACGCCGAUUAUCUAACCUUUUGGAAGAAGUCGUCGAAGGGGGAAUCAAUAACUGGGGUGAAGUCGUAACAAGGUAGCCGUAUCGGAAGGUGCGGCUGGAUCACCUCCUUUCUAAGGAGA
rnacentral:rRNA from 1 species